rnacentral:sRNA from 1 species
GGGAGAGCGAAGGCUGCAGCGCGCCCGGCAGCCGGGAUGCAGCGGCGCCGCCCAAGCCUGGGGCGCAGGGGUCGGGGCACACGGGGAUAGGCCCGACGCGGGGCCGAAGGAAGGGUGGUCUUUCCCGCAGAGUUGCCGCUGGAGGACCGAAAGUUUUGCAGGCAGCCCUUGCUUCCAGCUUGUCACUCUCUCCCCGCGUCCCUGUCGCCCAACGCGAGGCGCCCCGGUUGGGGUCCCGACGGCUUGGUGGGGAGGAGCCGUGAGGGGUUGCGCCCCCCACCCCCACCCGAGCCAGGGAAGGGACCCUGGUGACCUCGCCUCCCAGCCCUCACCCCCGUCACCCCUUUCUUCUCUUUCCCGGAGGACUUUGGACCAUGGAGAUUCUGCAGUUGUUGCUCUGGGAGCUGAAACCAGUGGGUAGAUGUCGUUCUGAAACGCAGUCAACCAAUAUUGCCUGUCAUGGAACAGCUGUCCCCUCCUGUCAGGAGGGAAAGAUAAGUGAGACCCAUCCUCACCCUCACAGAGAUGCAGUCUGGUGGCCUCUGGAAGAAGGAAGUUGUGAAACUUACCGAUUCCUUGGGAAAACAGGCAGCAGAGUCUCUCAAGUGGAGGUUACUACACAGGACCUUGAAGAGAGUUUGACAGCCCAAAUAUUAUUUCCUUCUAUUUGGGAUGAUUUUACUCCACAGUACGGUAAAUUGUGGGCUAGAAUCUAAAAGUGAUUUAGCAUCUCUACAAAAGAAGACUUCAUAGGCAUUGCCACAUUUAAUUGAUAACAGAGUAGAUCUACAUUGUUGCAGUUAGUUAUGGAGUAUAAUUGUAGAGUUGCUUUACUCUAAGCCUUCUCCAGUCUCUCCAUUGACUAUAGACAUAAUAAUACUGACUUGUUGAAACUAUAACCCAUCUAUGACUGUGUUGGAUAACAUGACUGUCAAUCAAAUUGCAUAACUGAGAGGCAGAGAAUAAAGCAUCGCUCAUCAAACUACUAGACAUUUACACUUGACUUUGGAUGAAAAUUGAGAUGGAGUCUUGUUCUGUUGCCCAGGCUCACUGCAACCUCCGCCUCCUGGGUUCAAGCUGUUCCCCUGCCUCAGCCUCCCAAGUAGCUGGGACUACAAGUGCCUGCCACCACAUCCGGCUAAUUUUUUAUUUUUUUGUAAUUUUAGUAGAGACAGGGUUUCACCAUGUAGACCAGGCUAGUCUCGAACUCCUGACCCCAGGUAAUCCACCUGCCUCAGCCUCCCAAAGUGCUGGGAUUACAGGUUUGAGCCACCGUGCCCAGCCUAUGAUUAUUUCUUUAGGAUGCUUUUCUGUAAAUGGAAUUGCCAAGUCAAACUGGAUGCACAUUUACAAUUUUGAAAUUGCCAAACUUUGCCAGGGUGUAUGAGAAUUCCCAUUUCCUCGUGGCCUCAUAGGUGCUGUACGGAUGAUUCUUUUUCAUCUUUCAGUCUGAGGAGAGAAUUUCAUCUCCAGCUUGUUUCAGUUAUAUCUCUGCUUAUUGAUGAUUUGUAUUUCAUUUUUUUGUAAAUUGCCUACCUUUCUUUUAGAGUGUUCACCUUUCUCUUAAUGAAUUGUGAAAGCUCUUUAUAUUU